ACACGAGUAAAAGACUAGGCUGCACAAUCGAUUUCCAUGGCCUGCACAAUCGAUUUCCGCCGCCUAGACGAAGGCUUUGGCGGCAAAACCUACAAGCGCAAGAGAAACCCCCAAGCCUCCGACGAAGAUGCCUCUGUCUUUGGCGGCGCUGCAAUGGAAAUCGAUGACUCGUAUCCACCUCCAGCCAAGCGGUCGGCGGUACCCUCGUCUGACAACCCUGACAAGCCCAGCUUCGGGAAGCCGAGCUACGACGGCGUCAUCGCGGGAAAAGUCUCCGGGCGGAAGUGGAAGCAGCCAAGGAAGCAGAGGGCGUCGGCGGCGCAAGUUAGCCGAAAGGGGACGACGUUCGAGGAGAGGGCAAAGGCGAAGGAGAUAAAGAGGGCUUACAGAGAGAGAAUGACGGAGCUGAAGGACGAGAUCAAGAAGAACAAGGAGGAGAAGAGGAGGAAGAGGGAGGAGAGGGAGAAGAAGAAGAAGGAGAAUAUCUUGAGGUCUGGGACUAAGCUGCAGGUGAUUUCGAACCCGAAGACAAUCAAGAAGAUUGCAAAGACGAAGGAUCGGAAGCUCCUCCAGCCGGUUCCGGAGCAUUUGAUCAACAAGAACAGGAGGAAGAGGAACAAGAACGACGACGAAUAGUUAUGAAUUACUUAUGGUUGAUAUUUAUUCGAUGAAUGGAAAGGAAGACAAAGAUUAAGGUAUUUGUCUCAGUAAAAGAACUCCCAAGUGCAGAUUCUUGCUUCAGAAAGCGUUUUCGAGUUGAAAUAAGUUGCAUAUACCUGUUUUUGCAGUUUUUCUUUUUCCUAAUCCUGUUUAUGUCGCUCUCUUGUAUGUUCGAAUAUUUUGAGAGCUUGUCUGCAGAACAGUUUUAUUCAUUAGUUCAGUUGAGGUUGUCAAUCUCUCAUAUUCGUAUUUGAUUAACUCAUGUGAUGAAAAUUUUGGAUUCUCAAAUAAAACUCCAAGAAGCAUUGUUGUAGAAAGCUA